rnacentral:rRNA from 1 species
AAGCGUUGUUCGGAUUCAUUGGGCGUAAAGGGUGCGUAGGCGGCGCGGUAAGUCGGGUGUGAAAUCUUGGAGCUUAACUCCGAAACUGCAUUCGAUACUGCCGUGCUUGAGGACUGGAGAGGGGACUGGAAUUUACGGUGUAGCGGUGAAAUGCGUAGAUAUCGUAAGGAAGACCAGUGGCGAAGGCGGGUCUCUGGACAGUUCCUGACGCUGAGGCACGAAGGCCAGGGGAGCAAACGGG